rnacentral:lncRNA from 1 species
GCCAUAACAUUCCUUUCCAAGACUGUAUUGGAGAUUCAAUAAGAUAUGGAAAAAAUACCUAAGACAGUGCCUGGUAGACAGCAGGCACCGGAGAUGGAAGACAGCCCGUCUGCAUUACAGUAGUCCCCCUUGUUGUGGGGGAUACGUUCCAAGACCCCCAGUGGACGCCUGAAACUGCAGAUAUAUACAUGUUUCUCUGAGCUGCCAAAGAAGUUCCUGGCACAGAGUUUAAGGACCCAAGGGAGCCGUAAGAGGGACGAGGAAACUGAGACCCAGAGGCCCAGAGAUCAACCCUACCUGAAACAAAGUGGGUUAAGGGAACGCCGGCCCAGAAUUAUGGUCAUCAGCCCCAUGACUCCCUGGCUGCCAGUAUGGCUUUGACUUUUGAC